rnacentral:rRNA from 1 species
GAUGAACGCUGGCGGCGUGCUUAACACAUGCAAGUCGAACGAUGAACCGGGUGCUUGCACUCGGGGAUUAGUGGCGAACGGGUGAGUAGCACGUGAGCAACCUGCCCCGGACUCUGGGAUAAGCGAUGGAAACGGCGUCUAAUACUGGAUAUGUCCCGUCACCGCAUGGUGGGCGGGUGGAAAGAUUUUUCGGUUGGGGAUGGGCUCGCGGCCUAUCAGCUUGUUGGUGAGGUAAUGGCUCACCAAGGCGUCGACGGGUAGCCGGCCUGAGAGGGUGACCGGCCACACUGGGACUGAGACACGGCCCAGACUCCUACGGGAGGCAGCAGUGGGGAAUAUUGCACAAUGGGCGGAAGCCUGAUGCAGCAACGCCGCGUGAGGGAUGACGGCCUUCGGGUUGUAAACCUCUUUUAGCAGGGAAGAAGCGAGAGUGACGGUACCUGCAGAAAAAGCACCGGCUAACUACGUGCCAGCCGCCGCCGUAA